UUUUGCAGUUUUUAGAUAUAUUGAGUGCUCUACAGAUGCAAAGCAGUGACCUCCUCAUCUAAAUCAGACAAAUGCAAAGAUAAGGAGAAGAUCAUGAGGAAGCCAAGAGGUGGACAAACACAAACGCCCAGAAGAGUCUUCCAGGUCAAGAACUGUCUGGAGAAAAGCCAUUGCAGUGACAUGAGAAUGUCAGAAGUAAAACCGAGACGGAGCUGAGCAGAGUUAAGCAUUCUGAUUUCAAUUCAUGAAGCAGGAAAUCUUUCUGGCAGGUCCUGGUUCCUGGGACUCUCUCAGCCCUCACCCCAUGUGUCUCUUCAUGUGGCUGGUCCUGACCUAUAUCCUUUCUCGUAAGUGUCUGUAAUUGGAAGUAGAGCACUUUCCUGAGUUCUGUGAGUCGUUCCAGUGAAUUAUCUAACCUGACCAGGUCAUGAGAAUCCCUGAGUAUCUAGUUAGUCCGAAGUGUAGGUGGCCUGGAGACCCCCUGAACUUGUGGCUGGUGUCUGAAGUUGAGACCCUCGUGAGGGGGACUGUGCCCUUCAUUUGUGGGGUGUAUUACUCAGGGUCCUCCAGAGAGACAGAAUCAGUGGGAUAUAUGAAAGGUGAUUUAUUAGGGGGAGUUGGCUCACACAAUCAUGGAAGUGGAGAAGUCCCACAAUAGUUGUCUGUGAGCUGGAAAACCGGAGAAGCCGGUAGCACAGUUCAAAGCUGGUAGCAUGAAUGGUUCAGUCCAAGUCUAGAAGCCUCAGAACAGGGAAGCAGACAGUGCAGGCCCCCGUCAUCUGAGGCUACAGACCUGACUGUCCCCAGAAGGCCACUGGCACAAGUCCCAGAGUCCAAAAGCAGAAGGGCCUGAGUCUUAUGUCCAAAGUCAGGAGGAAAAAAAGCAUUCCAUCCCAGAAGGGAGAGAGAGAAAAAGGGGGAGAGAGAGAGAACAAGCCCCCUUCUUCUGCCUGCUUGUGCCAGCCAGGGCCACUGACGAUUGGAUGGUGACUGCCCCCUUAAGGGUGAAUCUUCUGCUCUCUCUCAGUCCACUGACUCACACCCUCACAGGCAUGCCCAGAAACAAUGCUUCAUCAGCCGUAUAGGCAGCCCUGAAUCCAGUUAAACUGACACGUAAAAUUAACCGUCACAUGAGAUCUGCCCUAACUCUGGGUGGUUAAUGCCAGAAUUCAAUUGCAGAACACCAGUGGGUGUUAGAAUAUCCUACUUAUUCAAUUUAGCAAAAAUAUUAAUUCCUUGGUGAAGCCUUCCUUGACUUCCCCAGAAUUAGUUGCUCCCUUUCUCUCCUUUUAUUCUAUUAAUAUAUCUAUAAUAGCACACACCAUAUUUUUGCACACAUAUAGUUUUUCUAUUGAAAGGUCUGUUUCCCCUAUUAUCUGGGCCCUCUUCAGGCAGGGCUCCCCUACUGUGUGCAGUCUAGGGACUUGGUGCCCUGUGACCCAGCCGCUGUAGCGGUGGCUAAAAGGGG
rnacentral:lncRNA from 1 species